UCUGCUUCUAUGAAAUCCAUGUGUUUUAGUUUCCACAUAUGAUUGAGAACUUUUAGCAUUUACUCUCUAGAUUGGCUUAUUGGUUUGUUGAUUACUUAAUUAAUUAAUCUGGAGACAGGGUCUCAUUAUAUAGUUGGCUGGCCUUGAACUCAAAAAUCCACCUACUUCUGCCUUCCAAGUGCUGGGAUUAAAGGAAUCUGUCACUACACCCAGAUCCUUAGACUAAUCUUAAUGUUGGUACUGUUAAAAUAGGUAGGUAGAUAGAUAGAUAGAUAGAUAGAUAGAUAGAUAGAUAGAUAGAUAGAUAGAUAGAUAAAACAGGUAUCUUAGAUGAUGUAGGAAGGAGUUUUAGGUAUUCCUAGUAAUUGGGUGAUUGAUCAGUUGGCUGAUGGUAUUUAGCAUAUUGGUUAUUGAACCUAGGGCUUUGCACAUUCCAGGUAAAUAUUCUAACCCUCAUCUCUAUUCUUGACCUUUGUGUUUCAUUCAAAAUGCACCCUAGAAUAAGUGACUUUACCUUUCUAAAUGUGUUUCCUCAGUAAUGAGACUUCCAAAGUCUCUUAGUUCAGAUUCCCCCAAAGUUGCAAAGCGCCUGUAUAGGGAGAAUCAAGCAUUCUGGGAUCUUUGAGGCAUCUGAGCUGGCUGAUGCUGCUCUACUCUGAUAGAUUCAUCAAGUGUAGGGACUCUUCUGUAACAUGUCAUUUGGUAUUUUCUCUGGGCAUUAUUCUUUUUUGUUUGCUUGCUUAUUUUUCUCCUCCCUUCUGGAAUUCUGCUGGUCUAACAGUACUUUCUUUUUUCUUAUUUUUGUUUGUUUAUUUAUUUUAGUGACUUUCCUCAAAUAUCAAAUUGUAUUUAACUUUUGUCAUGGAAAAAUACAAAAAGAAAAAGAUGAACAUAAUAAAAUCCUUCUCGUCUGACAAAAUCCAAAUGUGGCCUUAGAAAAGGAGAGGAUACAUGCAAGAAGACUUUCUGUAACAGGCAGGGCCUGGAUCAAAGCUGACCCACAUGCAUGCAUGCAUAGCCUUUGGUGUCAGGAGUCAGGUUUCUUAAGGUUGAUCUCUGCCUGUUUGUCUUGCAUUUCUGUUUAGCCAUCUUGUUGGCCCUGGAGAUCUUCUUUUGAGGGAAAAUUAAAUUGUUGGGGAUAAAGAUGCAUCUAGAAAGAAAUUGUGUUGACAAACAACAUUUUAAGAGCAUUUCAGAGUGGAAUCAGGGAAGCACAAGAUUCAGGAAUCAUGCACAGCCUGAGCCACCAUGUGAAUUCUUGACCAGUGUCUGGGGGGGUGGGGGGUGGGGGUUAAGUCUUGAGGUUUGGUGUAGAGAUAAGUUUGGCAAGGCCAAAGACUUUGCAAAGGCCACAAAUUUAACAAUGGAGGAUGUAGCUGCAAGUAUUCCAAGGAAGCCUUUUUUUCUCAGCAUGAAGUAUUUCAUAGUUUAUGAAGCCAUUUUAUUAAAACUAUAACUGCACUGGGCGUGGUGGCGCAAGCCUUUAAUUCCAGCACUCGGGAGGCAGAGGCAGGCAGAUUUCUGAGGCCAGCCUGGUCUACAAAGUGAGUUUCAGGACAGCCAGGGCUACACAGAGAAACCCUGUCUCAAAAAAACAAAAAAAACAAAAAACAAAAAAACAAAAAAACUGUAACUGCUAAGAACAAACUUUGCACCUGGCAUAUUAGCAGUUCAUCAAGUGUAGCCAAGUGUCAAGGUGGCUUUCCUGAACCUGGCACUUUCCUUUCCUUGUAACUGGUAGGUUCUCCUCUCUCUUCUCUUUCUUUGUUUUAAAAGUUCCAUACAACCCAAGCCUUUGGGGAGGACUUAGUCUGUUUGCAAUUUCCAAGGCCCAAAUACAUUUCCUUUUUUACUCUAGCAGCUUCCAAGCUUGAAUAAUCAAUACCAGGUUCAGUAUUAUGACAUUCCCUCACUCACUUCAACAAGUCUCAGGGUUAAAGAGGCAGCUCGCUUGGUAGAGUGCUUGCCCAGCAUGCCCAAGACCCAGGGUUUUCUCACCAGCACUGCAUAAAAUGAGUGUGGAAUUCCAGCACACUGGAGGUGGGAGCAGGAAGGUCAGAAACUCAAGGCCAGCCUAGACUAUGUGCCCAUUCUCUCCCCUCACCUCUCCCACAAAUUUUAACUCAUGCCUCCACCAGUCA
rnacentral:lncRNA from 1 species